GUGUUCUCUUCAGCAGCACACGUACUAAAAUUGGACUGAUGCAGAGAACAUAGCACGGCCCCUGUGCAAGGAUGACAUGCAAAUUUGUGAAGCAUUCCAUAUAUAU